rnacentral:rRNA from 1 species
UACGUAGGGGGCAAGCGUUGUCCGGAAUCAUUGGGCGUAAAGCGCGUGUAGGCGGCCAGAUAAGUCCGCUGUGAAAUCUCGAGGCUCAACUUCGAGCUGUCGGUGGAAACUGUCUGGCUAGAGUCCGGAAGAGGAGAAUGGAAUUCCUGGUGUAGCGGUGAAAUGCGCAGAUAUCAGGAAGAACACCCGUGGCGAAGGCGGUUCUCUGGGACGGUACUAACGCUGAGACGCGAAAGCGUGGGGAGCGAACAGGAUUAGAACCUACCGAGUCAGUC